rnacentral:rRNA from 1 species
UUCGGAAGAAGUAACCCGGCGGACGGCUCAGUAACACGUGGAUAACUUGCCCUUGGGUCCGGGAUAACCCCUGAGAAAUUGGGGACAAUACCGGAUAGGGCAUCGAUAGCCGGAAUGCGCGAUGUCCAAAAGCUCAGGCGCCCAAGGAUAGGUCUGCGGCCGAUUAGGUUGUUGUUGAUGUAAUGGAUCAACAAGCCUGCAAUCGGUACGGGUUGUGAGAGCAAGAGCCCGGAGAUGGGUUCUGAGAAAAGAACCCAGGUCCUACGGGACGCAUCAGGCGCGAAAACUUUACAAUGUGCGAAAGCACGAUAAGGGAACUCUGAGUGCCUCCUAUGGAGGCUGUUCAGGUGUCUAAAAAGCACUUGAAGUAAGGGCUGGGUAAGACCGGUGCCAGCCGCCGCGGUAACACCGGCAGCCCAAGUGGUAGCCACGAUUAUUGGGUCUAAAGCGUCCGUAGCCGGCCAGGUAAGUUCUUUGGGAAAUUUAACCGCUCAACGGUUAAGCUUUCAGGGAAUACUGCUUGGCUUGGGACCGGGAGAGGUCAGAGGUACUUCAAGGGUAGGGGUGAAAUCCGUUAAUCCUUGAGGGACCACCAGUAGCGAAGGCGUCUGACCAGACCGGGUCCGACGGUGAGGGACGAAAGCUAGGGUCGCGAACCGGAUUAGAUACCCGGGUAGUCCUAGCUGUAAACGAUGCGGGCCAG